CCUACGGGUGGCUGCAGUGGGGAAUUUUGGACAAUGGGGGCAACCCUGAUCCAGCCAUGCCGCGUGUGCGAAGAAGGCCUUCGGGUUGUAAAGCACUUUUGGCAGGAACGAAACGGUUUGCGCUAAUACCGCGAACUAAUGACGGUACCUGCAGAAUAAGCACCGGCUAACUACGUGCCAGCAGCCGCGGUAAUACGUAGGGUGCAAGCGUUAAUCGGAAUUACUGGGCGUAAAGCGUGCGCAGGCGGUUAUAUAAGACCGAUGUGAAAUCCCCGGGCUCAACCUGGGAACUGCAUUGGUGACUGUAUGGCUAGAGUGUGUCAGAGGGGGGUAGAAUUCCACGUGUAGCAGUGAAAUGCGUAGAGAUGUGGAGGAAUACCGAUGGCGAAGGCAGCCCCCUGGGAUAACACUGACGCUCAUGCACGAAAGCGUGGGGAGCAAACAGGAUUAGAUACCCCUGUAGUC
rnacentral:rRNA from 1 species